rnacentral:rRNA from 1 species
UACAGAGGGGGCAAGCGUUGUUCGGAAUUACUGGGCGUAAAGGGCGCGUAGGCGGCCUGCUAAGUCGAACGUGAAAUCCCUGGGCUCAACCCAGGAACUGCGUCCGAUACUGGUUGGCUUGAAUCCGGGAGAGGGACGUGGAAUUCCAGGUGUAGCGGUGAAAUGCGUAGAUAUCUGGAGGAACACCGGUGGCGAAGGCGACGUCCUGGACCGGCAUUGACGCUGAGGAGCGAAAGCCAGGGGAGCAAACGGG